rnacentral:rRNA from 1 species
UUAAACGCGUGGGGCAACCUGCCCUUGGUACAAGGGGGGAUUAACCCAAUUCCUUGGGUAAAACAGAUGCUAAUACCGCAUAACCGCAUCAGCCCGCAUGGGCAGAUGCGGAAAGGGAGAAAUCCCGGUACAGGAUGGACCCGCGUCUGAUUAGCCAGUUGGCAGGGUAACGGCCUACCAAAGCGACGAUCAGUAGCCGGCCUGAGAGGGUGGACGGCCACAUUGGGACUGAGACACGGCCCAGACUCCUACGGAAGGCAGCAG